rnacentral:rRNA from 1 species
UACGGAGGGUGCAAGCGUUGUUCGGAAUUACUGGGCGUAAAGCGCACGUAGGCGGGUUUGUAUGUCGAUUGUGAAAUCCCCGGGCUUAACCUGGGAAUUGCAGUCGAAACUGCAAAUCUUGAAUGUUUGAGAGGAUGGCGGAAUUCCUGGUGUAGUAGUGAAAUACGUAGAUAUCAGGAAGAACACCCGAGGCGAAGGCGGCUAUCUGGUGAUACAUUGACGCUGAGGUGCGAAAGCGUGGGGAGCAAACAGG